rnacentral:lncRNA from 10 species
AUUGUUGGUUGUCUCUUGUUUUUGCUCAAAGCCUAUCUCAAACUUCUUCCCUAUCUUUCCUUUUAAGUUCUCACAGUGUCUUAUCUAAAAUAAAAUGGGCUCUUCUGGGUUUGUGAAAUAAUACAUGGGGGUUGGUUCAAAUAUUUUUUUUUUCUUAAUGGAAGGAAUAAUCGUGGGAUUCAACUCAUUGCCAGGGAUUAUGCUAGAAACCUAUUACAUUGUAGGGGUCUCACUUUAUCAUCAUGAUAAUGCUGAAAGAAUUUUACCUCAGUGGAGAAACUGAGGUUCAGAGAAGUUAUUUAACUUCAUUAAUAUCACACAAAUAGUGAACAGUGGAGAUGGAAUUAAAAACAUUUCAGGGCUUAAUCCAAAUUCCACACAUUGCAUUACCCUGCCUUUUUUUUUCUUUUUUAAAUACCUCCAGGAAUUUUGUUUCCUAGUCACAACUCUGAGUUUUUCCACAGUGGAGAAUAUAGUCAGGGAAGAAGUUACAGUGGUAAACAGGAAGGAAGUACAGAGCACCCCCGUCUCUCCAUAGGCUGGGAAGACAUAUUGGUGGGUCAGAAAUUAAACAAUAUCUGCUCCUCAUCAAAGAGAAGAGCUUUAGGAUUGAAUUAGAGAAAGCAGCCUGUAGACUUUCCUUUUAGAGUUGUAAAAUUGAAUGUUCUUUAUCUUAAAAAUAAAAAAUCCAUUCAAUUACAGCACAGAAGGUAAAAUUUCUUUCCAAGUGUACCCAGAGAUUAUUGAAAGAGGAGAAUCCUCUUAAAAUCAUCACACUUUGGCAUUUUGAACAAGCACCCUUGUUCACCAUAGGCAUGGUGCCCCAGGACUUCCUUUGGGAACAUGAAGAGUCUCCCUUGAGUUUCAAGUUUGCUGCUGCCAAAUCCGGGUCCCUCCUACCCAGAAAGGACCUCUCCCAGUUGGGAUCGGUGUGGAUGCUUCUUUGCCAAGAAUUGCCAAGAGAUUCGAAUAGUUCCAGAAUGUGGAAUAAUUGCAAAUUAAUUGCAUUUAAUUACACAAGGCUAGAUCAUCAAAUAUCUUCUAGGUAGUUUGUGCUUUCUUUUGGGUAUCGAUGUAUAAUUUAAAGCAUAAAUAAUGCAAAUUUCCCUUUUGGAAAUAUUAACUAGUGCAGUGUUCUACCUAAUGGAGGUUAUUAUUUUAAUGUUUGUGAAAUUAAGUUUUCCUAUCUAAAUUGAAGUUGUAGGUAGCCAAAUAAUCAUUCUUGCAGUAGUAGAAGGUAUUUUUCCCUGAGGAAUAUGAACAAACAAUGAGUACAGCUACAAGUUCUAAAAUGUUCAGCAUUAUAUAUAUAUUAUAUAACAUAUAUAUGUUUAUAUGUUAUAUAUAUGUAUAUAUAUAAAUAUGUUUAUAUAUAUAAAGCAAUACUUCUUCCUCCCACUGGAGAAGGGAACUAAACAAAAUAAUUGUCUAGACUUAAACCUCCUUUUCUCCAAGUCAUUUUGAUGUUUACUCUGUUUACAGACCAGUGCUUGAGAAGUGCCCUUCUCUAUCAGGCUAGCCCAGGCUCAGUAUGACUUACAAACAGUAUAAUUUGGGGUUUGCCAAAUCCCCAAAUCUAUAAAGAGGAUGGAUCAGCUGAAUAAAUAGUAUGGUUUAAUGGAAGACUACGGGUUCUGUACCUCACUUGCCAAUAUUUGUUGAGGGGCCCUGGGCGGAAACCAGCAUCUCCCUAAAUCUCACAUUAUCCUUUUAUAAAAUUAGGGGAUUGAUCUACUUAAUUUCUUUUUUUUUCUUUUCUUUUUUUCUUUUUCUUUUUCUUUUUUUUUUUGAGAUGGAGUCUCGCACUGUUGGCUGGAUCUCGGCUCACUGCAAGCUCGGCCUUCCGGGUUUAUGCCAUUCUCCUGCCUCAGCCUCCUGAGUAGCUGGGACUACAGGCGCCCACCACCACACCUGGCUAAUUUUUUGUAUUUUUAGCAGAGAAGGGGUUUCACUGCAUUAGCCAGGAUGAUCUCGAUCUCCUGACCUCAAGUGAUCCGCCCGCCUCGGCCUCCCAAAGUGCUGGGAUUACAGGCGUGAGCCACCGCGCCCGGCCAAUUUCUAAGGCUCCAUUAGGGCUAAGGUUCAUGUAUCCAUGGUGAAGUAUAGAAGAACUCAGAAUCGUUCCAAACAUAAUGGGCUUGGAGUAAUGGAGAACUCCAAGGGCAGGAGGUAACCAUUAAAGAGGACCAUCAUGUAGUGUGAGGAGUCAACAUUUCACACUAGAAAGCCCUUGGUUCAAGUUUUGUCUCUGCCACCUACAGAUUUUGUAACCCUGAGGAAACUAGCUACCUCUUUAUGUACUGCCCUAUGGAGAGGCACACAUGUCAAGAAACUGAGGGAGUGCCUUCCAGUCAACAGCCAGCCAGGAACUAAGGUGCUCAGUACAGCAGCCUCCACAAAGGACUGAACAAUGCCAACAGCUAUUUGACUGUGCUUGGAAGAUCUCCGUUUAGUUAACCCUUCAGAUGAGACCGCAGCCCUGGCCAGCAAACAAAUUGCAGCCUAUGGAAAGACCUUAAGGCAGAAGCACCCAACUGAACCACCCGAGGGCUCUGACUUACAGAAACUGUGAGCAUAUAGUGAAAUGGCCUCUACCUUAUUUUGAAUGGAUUUCUGGGAUAAAGUUCUUCAGUGAUAACAUGUUUGAAGUUUCAGGAAAGAGGCACUGGCCUUUACUUCUCCACCUCGAUUCACUUCCAUGCUGUUGACAAAUGUUAUAGUUGCCCAGGAUCAGAGGGAGAGACUGACCCUGUGACCAUUUCCCCAAAGGCGGCCUUUGGCCACUCCGUGCACUGGAGCACAUGACCCUCUGCCUCGCCCCUGCCACAUUAACCAGGUGACUGUCUGCCAAGGCCCAGCCCAGUCCAAAGGGAAUUGGGAUUCAGUGUCCCAAACAAGGCACUGAUUAGCUGGUAAUCAGGCAGCGAUUAGCAGGUCGGGUCACCUGCAGUUCAGUGCCCAUUGUUCCCAGCAAAGUCCUGGGAUAUUUGCCACACGGCUGGCCAGUCUGAAUGUCUGAGGAUUCCGAUGCCUGCAGCUCUGCUGUGGAGAUGUGUGAUUAGGAACAAAUCCUCUGUUCUCUAAGCCCAUCCCCCCAAGGAGGCAGUGCAGUGUGAAUAGUGAAUCCCCUUCUCUAUUCACACACAAAGGUUUGGGGAGAAGAAUGGCCUGCUUAGGAGCUCAACAGUGACAGAGAGGUGAGGCCCCAAGGAUGCACUGAAGAACUGAAAGCAAAUUAGCACAUUCCUCUUCCUGCACCAUGAUGACUGAGAGUGGAGGAACGGGCAAGCCCACAUCCAGACUGGGAUUCUACUGUGAUCUUGAGAUGUGACCUUGGACAAGAUUUUUAACCUCUGAGCUUGUUUACCUUGAUUUUGAGAGUUUAAUAACACUUGCCUCUUCAGCCUUUGAAGUUCAGAUUUAGAAAAUGAACAUAAAGCAGUUACUACAGUCUCUGUAGCGUGUGACCAAUACAUGCUAUCACCGUUAUCAUCGGUCAUAGUAAUAUCAAUAUUUAAAAUAUCAUAAUUAUUUGAAAUACUUUAUUUAAAAUAUGCCUCUGUAACAUCACUUCUAAAUGAGAGAUAGCCCCUUUGUAGGAGGCCAUGAUAAGGAUGAGAUGAGAAUUCUUGUAAAGCUUUCAUCACAGGGCCUAGCAAGUAAUUAGCACUUAAUAAAUCAUAGUAACAAUGGUGAUCACCAUCAUUAUUGUUUGUACAAAGUUGAAUGGAAAAGACUAUUUUGUAGCACUUUUCACUGUAUUGUAGCAUGUGAUCAUGAAAAUUUAGACAAAGCAUAAUUUUUCGAGCUAAAAGGAGAUUAAUGAAAUUAUUCAUGGCACAUUCACACCAUUGGACACUGUUCAGCUUUAUAGUCUAUGUGCCCUUCCACCACCUGGAGAUCUUGCUAAAAUUCUCAUUUGGUAAAUCUGGGGUCAGCCCAAGAUUACGCAUUUCCAGUGGAUUCUCAAGUGAUUCCAGGGCUACCUGUCCAUGGACUCCACUUUGAGUAAACAGGAUGUACACUUUUACAAUAAAAAAUGUGUAUAUGCAUUUAUACAGAAAUAUAGAAAAAUAUUCCUAGGCUAUACUCAAGAUGGGGGACAGUGUUUUUCACCCCCUUCGCUAAACUGUACUAUCUUUCCCAGAAAUUUAAUAACAAACAUGUAAAAACAUUUAAAAAUGCAAUAAAUUUUAUUGAUGCAAGUUCUUCCCUUCUCUAAAAGUUUGUCACACAGCCAGGUUUUCCAGCACAUUCUUUG